CAAUAGCGUAUAUUAAAGUUGUUGCAGUUAAAAAGCUCGUAGUUGGAUUUCUGGUAGGAGUGACCGUUCCGAACUUGAUUGUUCGUGUAUUGUGUUUUCUCCAGCCAUCCUUGUGGAGAACUUUUCUUGCAUUAAUUUGUAGGGGUUGGGACCCGCAUCGUUUACUGUGAAAAAAUUAGAGUGUUUAAAGCAGGCAAUCGCUUGAAUACAUUAGCAUGGAAUAAUAAGAUAGGACUUUGGUACUAUUUUGUUGGUUUGCAUACCAAAUUAAUGAUCAACAGGAACAGUUUGAGGAUAUUCGUAUGAACAUGUCAGAGGUGAAAUUCUUGGAUUUUGAUCAGACGAACUACUGCGAAAGCAUUUAUCAAGGAUGUUUUCAUUAA
rnacentral:rRNA from 1 species